rnacentral:misc_RNA from 1 species
CAACCCUCAAGCUCUGCUUGGUGUUGGGCCUUGCCCCUGCGGCCGGCCCUAAAGUCAGUGGCGGCGCCGUCUGGCUCUAAGCGUAGUACAUCUCUCGCUCUAGGGUCCUCCGGUGGCUUGCCAGAACCCCAACUUCUAU